rnacentral:rRNA from 1 species
AUACUGUGAAACUGCGAAUGGCUCAUUAAAUCAGUUAUCGUUUAUUUGAUAGUACCUUACUACUUGGAUAACCGUGGUAAUUCUAGAGCUAAUACAUGCUAAAAACCCCGACUUCGGAAGGGGUGUAUUUAUUAGAUAAAAAACCAAUGCCCUUCGGGGCUCCUUGGUGAAUCAUGAUAACUUAACGAAUCGCAUGGCCUUGUGCCGGCGAUGGUUCAUUCAAAUUUCUGCCCUAUCAACUUUCGAUUGUAGGAUAGAGGCCUACAAUGGUUUCAACGGGUAACGGGGAAUUAGGGUUCUAUUCCGGAGAGGGAGCCUGAGAAACGGCUACCACAUCCAAGGAAGGCAGCAGGCGCGCAAAUUACCCAAUCCCGAUACGGGGAGGUAGUGACAAUAAAUACUGAUACAGGGCUCUUUUGGGUCUUGUAAUUGGAAUGAGUACAAUUUAAAUCUCUUAACGAGGAACAAUUGGAGGGCAAGUCUGGUGCCAGCAGCCGCGGUAAUUCCAGCUCCAAUAGCGUAUAUUAAAGUUGUUGCAGUUAAAAAGCUCGUAGUUGAACCUUGGGCCUGGCUGGCCGGUCUGCCUCACCGCAUGUACUGGUUCGGCCGGGUCUUUCCUCCUGGGGAUCCGCAUGCCCUUCACUGGGUGUGUUGGGGAACCAGGACUUUUACUUUGAAAAAAUUAGAGUGUUCAAAGCAGGCCUUUGCUCGAAUACAUUAGCAUGGAAUAAUAGAAUAGGACGUGCGGUCCUAUUUUGUUGGUUUCUAGGACCGCCGUAAUGAUUAAUAGGGAUAGUCGGGGGCAUCAGUAUUCAGUUGUCAGAGGUGAAAUUCUUGGAUUUACUGAAGACUAACUACUGCGAAAGCAUUUGCCAAGGAUGUUUUCAUUAAUCAGUGAACGAAAGUUAGGGGAUCGAAGACGAUCAGAUACCGUCGUAGUCUUAACCGUAAACUAUGCCGACUAGGGAUCGGGCGAUGUUAUUCUUUUGACUCGCUCGGCACCUUACGAGAAAUCAAAGU